AACGAACGCUGGCAGCAUGCCUAACACAUGCAAGUCGAACGAGACCUUCGGGUCUAGUGGCGCACGGGUGCGUAACGCGUGGGAACCUGCCCUUAGGUUCGGAAUAACUCCCCGAAAGGGGUGCUAAUACCGGAUAAUGUCUUCGGACCAAAGAUUUAUCGCCUUUGGAUGGGCCCGCGUUGGAUUAGCUAGUUGGUAGGGUAAAAGCCUACCAAGGCGACGAUCCAUAGCUGGUCUGAGAGGAUGAUCAGCCACACUGGGACUGGGACACGGCCCAGACUCCUACGGGAGGCAGCAGUGGGGAAUAUUGGACAAUGGGCGAAAGCCUGAUCCGGCAAUGCCGCGUGAGUGAUGAAGGCCUUAGGGUUGUAAAGCUCUUUUACCCGGGAUGAUAAUGACAGUACCGGGAGAAUAAGCUCCGGCUAACUCCGUG
rnacentral:rRNA from 1 species